UACAGAGGUCUCAAGCGUUGUUCGGAUUCAUUGGGCGUAAAGGGUGCGUAGGUGGCGCGGUAAGUCGGGUGUGAAAUUUCGGAGCUUAACUCCGAAACUGCAUUCGAUACUGCCGUGCUUGAGGACUGGAGAGGAGACUGGAAUUUACGGUGUAGCAGUGAAAUGCGUAGAUAUCGGAAGGAACACCAGUGGCGAAAGCGGCUUCCUGGUCCAGCACCGACGUUCAGGCACGAAAGCGUGGGGAGCAAACAGG
rnacentral:rRNA from 1 species